GCUGUUUCAUCCCUGUCUUUUAUUUAUUUUUUCCACACACACGUUCGUCAGCUGCUCUUGUCUUGCCCUGCCCAGAGCAUGUGAAGUCAUAAGCUGGCAACAACUCAUCUUGUUAUUUUGGGAGAUCAGUCAUAGGUUACCAGCAUUUGCCAACUACUUGGCAAAUAUGGGCUGUUUGGCCUAACACACAGACUGGAUUAGUAUUGGAAAUGACAUUAACUGUGCAAAGAUCCAGAGCAAUAAUCCUGCAGUGCGUGGCUUGAGAGUUUCAGAGUGAGAUUUCCCUGUGAAGAAUGACUGAGUAAGUGAAAACCAGAUGGGAAAGCUCAUUAUUCUUCAAGAAGAUGGGAUCCCACACAGUUUACACUAUGCAAAGAUGGGGAGCUUGAUGGAGCAGCCAGCUGUGAAUAUAGAGCUGGAAUAUGUCAUUCAGAAAAGUAGGGACUGGAUCCAAGUAGAAGAGCUGACAAUGGCAUCAUCCUUCUCAUCUCCUUCCAGGUUCCAGUACUUCUCGCAGUGAAGAUGACUCAUGACCUCUACUUUCAAUAAAACCCAAAAGGGAAUUAUUUCACUCAGGAUGAAAAAAAAAAGAAAAAGAAAGAAAGAAAGAAAGAAAGAAAGAAAGAAAGAAAGAAAGAAAGAAAGAAAGAAAGAAAGAAAGAGCUGUGCAAAUCCAUAUUCUGUAACCUUCAGUGGAUUUCACACACACAAAAAAUUGAGACACUUACAACUAUAAUCUAUCAGGAGGUGUCUGUUUGUUUGCGCAGUCUCCAAUGCCACCAGGCUCCCACGUACCAGUGAUGACCUACAAGCGUUAACACAGAUGAAGAUGCCCUCAUCAGAGUGGAGCUCAGCUUCUUUGCACGUACCUACUUGCAGCUCAGGCGCCCAGCUGGGGACCACAGGUUUAUUCAGGUUCCCUCAUAAUCAGAGAUGAUGAUGCCUCUUUGUGUUCUUUCAUUAUGUUUAAUCUCAGAUGAACAGAAUCACCCUGCAGAGGGCAUGGCUCGCUCUUAUAACAGUGCAAGUCUGAGAAUGCCUGGCUUCCUGGCUUAGGCACCUCAGUCAGCUGCCUAGCAGUAAGGGAACAAGCUCCCACAGAAUAAUCCCCUGAGUCAGGCCUUCUGCUGCACUGGCAUCUUUUUCUCCUCAUAGUGGUAGUUCAUUUCUGGAAACAGGAAGAAAAUUCAGUCAUGUAUUGGAUCAUAUUUCAGAGUAUUUUUGCACAAUAUUCACUAUUUGUACAGGCUUUUGACGUGAACGCUGACUGCAUGAAGCAUUUAUCACAGUGGCUACAGAACUACCCUAAGAAUAGACUGCUGGGUGAGUCCAGCAGCAGGAGAAGAUUGAGCAAUAUUCAUUUGUCAUGCACCAGCCCUGGGACAGAGUCUGUGGCCAGGCACCUAAUACAGCACAUUUUCCUAAGCUGCAAUAUUGUGUUUGUGUGACAAAACAAGUUUAAAAUUGCUGUGAAAACUAGCCAGAAAUUUGUGAUGGUAAUCCAAAUGCAGCAUUGCAUGCUGCUGUUGCAAAACCAAACCUAAAUUAGCUUGAAGACAGGGCAAAGAUAUUCUGUAUGAGUUAUAUCCCAUGCACGGCAGUUUAAUAAUCCUCUUUGCCUGUGUUUAGAUUAAAAUUAGUACUGUGAAGACUUCCAGCCCAGCAAGAAACUCAAUACACCGCACUGAACUCGCGAACUCUAGGCAUGUUGUACCAGCACCCGUGAUCUCUGUGUCCUGUGGUUGUACAGGCCUUAAAGCAUUAGACUUCAGAAGAAAAAAUUCACCAUUAUAGACAAUCACAUAUAAUUAAACUUCACAGAACAAAAGUUUAAACAGUAAAGGGAACAAAUGAUCCACCCAAGUACAACAUUUAUUUCUGGAACGGCUGUUACCCUUACAAACACAUUUAGCCAUAAUGGGAAAAUUAUCUUGCAAAUGUCUAAUAAGAUUGUGUGUAUUUAAAUUUAUGCUGUAUUUAAUUUAGUUCUGCUCAUAACUGUUGUUGUGAGUCACUCAAAAGGUCCUUACACGUGGGAAAUCUUUUGUAUAAUUAAAAGAGCUAACAAUGCAAAACCCACAAGCCCCAAAUCCCUUGCAGCUUAAAGCCAAGUCCAUUUCUUAUGGUAAAUAUUUCUAUGCUAGUAAACCAUGACAUCACCCUCAGAGAGCUGCAAAUUAGAAAAUUUAUACCAAAUGCUUCCUCCAUAGAAAUUCAAACAGUGAGCCAAUCAGCUACACCGCAGCUGGCAUAAUUAGCAGUAGCUAAUGCCAUCACCAGCAGGUAUAGUUUUAUAGUAAACUUUCCCUUUUGGUCCUGAAAGGUACUAGAUUAAUUUGUACUGAUAAAUAUUUCUCAGAAAAUCAAGUGCUAAUUGGACAGUGGUGUCACUGAUAAAGAGCUUAAAGGAGCUGGUGUAUUGCUCUGUUGGUCCAUUUACCCAUCCUCAUAGCCUGAAAGGUAUUGCUGUAAUAGACAAGGGAAUUCUGGUUGUGCAGGACAGAAUGCUGACUCCAAGGCAACAAAACAGAUUUGUUUCAGCAUUUUCUAUUAAAAAGUGCUAUUUAUGUUUUCCUUUUCCUUUAUUUUUUAUUUUUCCAAGUAAAUUCACAAAGACUCAAACCUAAGACCUGCCUCAUUUUGGUAGGGACUUUCACAGAAUGCAGUACCAGAAUGCUUCAGGAAAAAAAAACAAAAUUGAAUAAUACUGAAUAAUACAGCCAUAAUAAAGCUGUCCUCUUCAAGUCUA